UAUUUAUAAAUUAUGGUGUGGUAAUGGUUCGUGUUCAUCUCAUUCCUUAACCUAAAUCAGUAGCCGCCACCAUCCCAACAUAUCAUUUUUCUCACUCAACUUGCAUCUCUCUUACUCACCAUAUCUCUCAUAAUGAAUUUUUUUUGAAGGUAAUUGUUGCAAUUUGCAAGUGAAGUAUUGUAUUGUGAAUGAAGCUGGUGAGCUUCAGAGAUGAAGGCGAUGAGGUCGCUGAAGUCAUUGAAUUGGAAAAUUCGAGAAGGUUUGAAAGAUAGAAUUUGGAAGAAAUAUUUUUGAAGAAUUUGCAAUCUCAUUUAGUCAAUGACAAUUAAUUGGAGAUGUGCAAGAUGGUGAAUGAUGACUCUUAGUUAUUACAUUCAUUUUAGACCAGCUUCUGCCGUGUCAGACCCAUUUCUUGCUUUAUAAAAAGGAAAAUUGAGAUAUGUGUAAGGGUUUUGAAUUUUGCAUUAAAGUUGGAGAUUUUGGGCAUUGUAGAAGGUCGAAGAAAUUGAUUCAAGUAUUGAAAGCAAGAUUGAAGCAUAUUCAUCCUACUCUUAUCUGUAUCUUCUUUAACUCUUGCGAUGUUUGUAAUAAUUAUGAGCAGCUAAAACUUUAGGUUUGGUCUUGAGAUGAAUCUAUUUCGAGCUACUUGAAUCAUGUAGUUUUGAGUAGUAUUUUUCUCAAUUGCAAUGCUAGUACUAUUCAGUUA